rnacentral:rRNA from 1 species
GCAGAAGCGACGCUAUACAUGCAGUCGUACGCUUCAAAUUCCACCGGAGCUUGCUCCACCGGAAAAAGAAGAGUGGCGAACGGGUGAGUAACACGUGGGUAACCUGCCCAUCAGAAGGGGAUAACACUUGGAUUCAGGUGCUAAUACCGUAUAACAAUCGAAACCGCAUGGUUUUGAUUUGAAAGGCGCUUUCGGGUGUCGCUGAUGGAUGGACCCGCGGUGCAUUAGCUAGUUGGUGAGGUAACGGCUCACCAAGGCCACGAUGCAUAGCCGACCUGAGAGGGUGAUCGGCCACAUUGGGACUGAGACACGGCCCAAACUCCUACGGGAGGCAGCAGUAGGGAAUCUUCGGCAAUGGACGAAAGUCUGACCGAGCAACGCCGCGUGAGUGAAGAAGGUUUUCGGAUCGUAAAACUCUGUUGUUAGAGAAGAACAAGGAUGAGAGUAACUGUUCAUCCCUUGACGGUAUCUAACCAGAAAGCCACGGCUAACUACGUGCCAGCAGCCGCGGUAAUACGUAGGUGGCAAGCGUUGUCCGGAUUUAUUGGGCGUAAAGCGAGCGCAGGCGGUUUCUUAAGUCUGAUGUGAAAGCCCCCGGCUCAACCGGGGAGGGUCAUUGGAAACUGGGAGACUUGAGUGCAGAAGAGGAGAGUGGAAUUCCAUGUGUAGCGGUGAAAUGCGUAUAUAUAUGGAGGAACACCAGUGGCGAAGGCGGCCUCUGGUCUGUAACUGACGCUGAGGCUCGAAAGCGUGGGGGAGCAAACAGGAUUAGAUACCCUGGUAGUCCACGCCGUAAACGAUU